AGCACCCAGCAUCUUUCCAACAAGUCUCUCCCCUUCAUGGCCUGCAACCAGAGGGAUCAUCCUGUCCCUGCUGCUGCUGCUGCUGCUGCUGCAAGUAACUGAGGUCGUAAGUGUAAACAACACGGCUGCAACAUCUGCCUGAGCCCUACAAGUCUGCAAAUAUAUCAGGAAGACUCCCCACAGAAUUGGAAGGACCUCUAACAUCUUCAAUAUGUCACUAGGGACUUGAGGAGUCCUGAGGAUGAUGGAAAAAUCUGCUGUCCAAAAAUGUGACAUAGAGAGAAAUCUACCAUCCUAGGGGCUGAAAUUAUAAAAGUGAAUGGAGAAAUAAGAAUUGGGAACAUUAGACGCUGUUGUAGAGUGAAUCAUGUACCCCACAAAGAUGUUAAAUCUAAACCCCCAGUCUUCAUUUGUAAAUGAGAUUUUCGAAGGUCCUAUUAAGAUGAAGCCAAACUGAAUCAGGUUGGGCCUUAACCCAAUAUGACUGGAGUCUUUAUAAGCAAAGGAAAUUUGGACAUGAAGUAGAAGCCAGAGAGCAAAACAGAAGGAGACAGAUCGCCAUGUGAUGGGGUCAGAGAUUGCGCCACCACCAGAAAGCUACAGAUUUUGGAGAAGGCAUGGCCUGCUGUUAUCUUUAUUUUUGACUUGUAGUCUCCAAAACUAUGGGAUAAUAAAUUCCUAUUGUUUAAGCCAAA